CCUACGGGAGGCAGCAGUGGGGAAUAUUGCGCAAUGGGCGAAAGCCUGACGCAGCGACGCCGCGUGAGGGAUGAAGGUCUUCGGAUCGUAAACUUCUAUCAGCAGGGAAGAAAAUGACGGUACCUGACGAAGAAGCCCCGGCUAACUACGUGCCAGCAGCCGCGGUAAUACGAAGGGGGCAAGCGUUAUCCGGAUUUACUGGGGGUAAAGGGAGCGUAGGGGGUUUAGCAAGUCAGAAGUGAAAGCCCGGGGCUCAACGCCGGGACUGCUUUUGAAACUGUUGAACUAGAUUGCAGGAGAGGUAAGUGGUCUUCCUAGUGUAGCGGUGCACUGCUUAGUUCUUAGGCGGAACCCCAGUGGCGACGGCGGCUUACUGGACUGUAACUGACGCUGAGGCUCGAACGCGUGGGGAGCAAACAGGAUUAGAUACCCGUGUAGUC
rnacentral:rRNA from 1 species